rnacentral:rRNA from 2 species
AUGCGUAGCCGACCUGAGAGGGUGAUCGGCCACACUGGGACUGAGACACGGCCCAGACUCCUACGGGAGGCAGCAGUAGGGAAUCUUCCGCAAUGGACGAAAGUCUGACGGAGCAACGCCGCGUGAGUGAUGAAGGUUUUCGGAUCGUAAAGCUCUGUUGUUAGGGAAGAACAAGUGCAAGAGUAACUGCUUGCACCUUGACGGUACCUAACCAGAAAGCCACGGCUAACUACGUGCCAGCAGCCGCGGUAAUACGUAGGUGGCAAGCGUUGUCCGGAAUUAUUGGGCGUAAAGGGCUCGCAGGCGGUUUCUUAAGUCUGAUGUGAAAGCCCCCGGCUCAACCGGGGAGGGUCAUUGGAAACUGGGAAACUUGAGUGCAGAAGAGGAGAGUGGAAUUCCACGUGUAGCGGUGAAAUGCGUAGAGAUGUGGAGGAACACCAGUGGCGAAGGCGACUCUCUGGUCUGUAACUGACGCUGAGGAGCGAAAGCGUGGGGAGCGA